AUUGAACGCUGGCGGCAUGCUUUACACAUGCAAGUCGAACGGCAGCACGGGCUUCGGUCUGGUGGCGAGUGGCGAACGGGUGAGUAAUAUAUCGGAACGUACCCAGAAGUGGGGGAUAACGUAGCGAAAGUUACGCUAAUACCGCAUACGAUCUACGGAUGAAAGUGGGGGACCUUCGGGCCUCAUGCUUUUGGAGCGGCCGAUAUCUGAUUAGCUAGUUGGUGAGGUAAAGGCUCACCAAGGCGACGAUCAGUAGCUGGUCUGAGAGGACGACCAGCCACACUGGAACUGAGACACGGUCCAGACUCCUACGGGAGGCAGCAGUGGGGAAUUUUGGACAAUGGGCGCAAGCCUGAUCCAGCAAUGCCGCGUGAGUGAAGGAGGCCUUCGGGUUGUAAAGCUCUUUUGUCAGGGAAGAAACGGUGAGGGCUAAUAUCCUUUGCUAAUGACGGUACCUGAAGAAUAAGCACCGGCUAACUACGUGCCAGCCGCCGCCGUAACAC
rnacentral:rRNA from 1 species